rnacentral:rRNA from 1 species
GACAGAGGUGCCAAGCGUUAGGCGGAAUCACUGGGCUUAAAGCGUGUGUAGGUGGAUUUGUAAGUACCUUGUGAAAUCCCAUGGCUCAACCAUGGAACUGCUCGGUAUACUGCGAAUCUUGAGCCACUUAGGGGCUACCGGAACAAAUGGUGGAGCGGUGAAAUGCGUAGAUAUCGUUUGGAACGCCAAAGGUGAAAACAGACAGCUGGGAGUGUGCUGACGCUGAGACACGAAAGCCAGGGGAGCGAACGGG